rnacentral:rRNA from 1 species
GUGUGGUGGCACAACGUUCUCUCUCUCGGUGUGGGAUGGGCCCGCGGCUAUCAGCUUGUUCGGUGGGGUAAUGGCCUGACCAAGGCGGCGACGGGUAGCCGGCCUGAGAGGGUGGACGGCCACAUUGGGACUGAGACACGGCCCAGACUCCUACGGGAGUGCAGCAGUGGGGAAUAUGGCACAAUGGGCGGAAGCCUGAUGCAGCGACGCCGCGUGGGGGAUGACGGCCUUCGGGUUGUAAACUCCGUGUCACCAUCGACGAAGGGUUUCUGACGGUAGAUGGAGAAGAAGCACCGGCUAACUACGUGCCAGCAGCCGCGGUAAUACGUAGGGUGCGAGCGUUGUCCGGAAUUACUGGGCGUAAAGAGCUCGUAGGUGGUUUGUCGCGUCGUCUGUGAAAUUCCGGGGCUUAACUCCGGGCGUGCAGGCGAUACGGGCAUAACUUGAGUACUGUAGGGGAGACUGGAAUUCCUGGUGUACGGUGAAAUGCGCAGAUAUCAGGAGGAACACCGGUGGCGAAGGCGGGUCUCUGGGCAGUAACUGACGCUGAGGAGCGAAAGCAUGGGGAGCGAACAGGAUUAGAUACCCUGGUAGUCCAUGCCGUAAACGGUGGGCGCUAGGUGUGGGUUUCCUUCCACGGGAUCCGUGCCGUAGCUAACGCAUUAAGCGCCCCGCCUGGGGAGUACGCCGCAAG